GCCAAAUAACAGUGGUAUCUGAGAGGGAUGUCUCUUGUGUUAGCGAAGGUGACAUUGGUAUCUAGGAAAGUCGCAGCCUUCCCACAAAACACAGUGGAGAAGGUGACAGAGUAAUAUAAAGUGGGUAGAUAUUUGCUGACAGGUGGCAGUGGUAUAUGUGGGAAGUUAGUAGUGGUAUAUGUUCGAAGGGGCACUGAUAUAUAGGGGGAGGUGGUAGUGGUAUAUAUGGGAAGUUGGUAGUGGUAUAUGUGUGAAGUUAGUAGUGGUAUAUGUUGGAAGGGGUACUGAUAUAUAGGGGGAGGUGGUAGUGGUAUAUGUGGGAAGGUGACAGUGGUAUAUGUGGGAAGGUGACAGUGGUAUAUGUGGGAAGGUGACAGUGGUUUAUGUGGGAAGGUGACAGUGGUAUAUGUGGGAAGGUGACAGUGGUAUAUGGGGGAAGGUGACUGUGGUAUAUGUGGGAAAAUGACUGUGGUAUAUGUGGGAAGGUAACUGUGGUAUAUGUGGGAAGGGACACUGGUAUAUGUUGGAAGGGACACUGGCAUAUGUGG